rnacentral:tRNA from 1 species
GUGAGUGUAGCUCAGAUAGGUAGAGCAUCGGACUGUGGCUCCGAGUGUCGGGGGUUCGAAUCCCCUCACUCACC